rnacentral:lncRNA from 1 species
GUCUUGUUUACGGAACUGUCGGCGCUGUUUUUUGUUUCUGGACGGACGGUUUUCGUGGUGGCACGUGAGUCCAAAACAGCACAAUUUUGCAGCUGAGCAAAGGCGUGUGGGCGCAUCAGUCAUGUUUCACUGGAUGAAGAGAACCAGCGGCGGCUCCGCGACGCUCGACGGCCUCGGUUCCGUCUCUAAAGCGGAGAUUCUGCGAGGAAUCGUGACCGAGAAACUGGCCACGGCGGCGCAGGAGGUCCUAGCGAUGCUGGAGCGAACCGCAGCUACGAGGAGGAGGCGUCGGGCUUCAGGCAGGAGAUCGAGCGGCAGAGGAGGCACUUCUGCAGCCGCGGGUCAAACUGGACCGAAGAGUCACGACCCGGAGCCGGACAGUGAUGAGGUGGUUCUGGUGAGGAGGGAGGAGACGAUCAGCGACACACACAACAUCAAGACACCGGGAGUCUGGGUUUGGACCUGUGGUUUGAUGAUGAUGAUGGUGAUGGUGGUGGUGGUGGUGAUGAUGAUGGGGAUGAUGGUGAUGGUGGUGGUGGUGGUGAUGAUGAUGAUGAUGAUGAUGAUGAUGAUGAUGAUGAUGGGGAUGAUGAUCAUGGUGAUGAUGAUGAUGGGGUCGGUGGAGAUGCAGCAUUGA